rnacentral:rRNA from 1 species
GACGAACGCUGGCGGCGUGCCUAAUACAUGCAAGUCGAGCGAACAGACGAGGAGCUUGCUCCUCUGACGUUAGCGGCGGACGGGUGAGUAACACGUGGAUAACCUACCUAUAAGACUGGGAUAACUUCGGGAAACCGGAGCUAAUCCCGGAUAAUAUAUUGAACCGCAUGGUUCAAUAGUGAAAGACGGUUUUGCUGUCACUUAUAGAUGGAUCCGCGCCGCAUUAGCUAGUUGGUAAGGUAACGGCUUACCAAGGCAACGAUGCGUAGCCGACCUGAGAGGGUGAUCGGCCACACGGGAACGGAGACACGGUCCAGACUCCUACGGGAGGCAGCAGUAGGGAAUCUUCCGCAAUGGGCGAAAGCCUGACGGAGCAACGCCGCGUGAGUGAUGAAGGUCUUCGGAUCGUAAAACUCUGUUAUUAGGGAAGAACAAAUGUGUAAGUAACUAUGCACGUCUUGACGGUACCUAAUCAGAAAGCCACGGCUAACUACGUG